CAGAAGAUAGUUUAGUUUAGAAUUCUGGCUUUGGGAGCCAGGGGUGGGAGUUAGAAUCUCCCUUUUCUGG
rnacentral:tRNA from 1 species